CAGAGGCCCAACCCACUGAGCCACCCAGGUGCCCCCAAGAUGGUAUAUUUUUGACAAAUAUUUAAAGAGAUCCUAUAAGUUGAUAAGAAACACUAAUGUAACAAAAGAAAAAUGAGCAAAGAACUUUUCAUCACAAAUUUCAGUCUACUACUAAGGAAAACCAUGCACAUUCAAAAAAAUGAGAUAUGUUUGUCUUUUAAAAUAGCAGUGCUUUUUUUUUUUUCUUCCUUUUAAGAAUUCCAGCACUGCUGAAGAAUGUGUGAGGAGGUAGGCACUUGCAUAUGCAGCUGGUAGAAUGUAAACACCUUUCUGGAAUACAUUUUGUGACCCCUCCCCUCCCCCCAUAUUAAAAAAAGAUAACUUUAUUAUAUAACUGACAAUGAACUGCAUAUAUUUAAAGUGUAAUUUGAUACAUUCUAACAGAUUUUACAUAUAAAAUAUCCAUGAAAGCAUCACCACAAUCAAGAUAAUGAACAUACCCACCACCCCUAAAAGUUACCUCCCUCUUUGCCUUUCCCUUUGUUCCCUGGAAACCAUUGGUCUGUUUUUUUGCCACUAUGGAAUGUUCUUUGGCUGUAUGCAUCCAGAGCCUUGGAAAUUUUGAAAUCUAUUGAUAUUGACCAGUAAUUAGAUUUUUAAUGAUCUUGUGCCUAUAUGCAUACAUAGUACAUGCUUGAUAAAUAUUUGUAUUACUCCUGCAUUGUAAGGAUCCUUAUCACUCCAUUGCUGGGGUGUUUCACUGCUUAUGAGCCAGACAUUGAAAAUUAUGUGUGUUCAUCAUCACUGGAAUAUAUAUAUUUUCUAUGCUUUUGCUACUCUGAGUGUGGUCCAAGACCAGGAGUGUCAGCAUCAUCUGGGAGGUUGUUAGAAAUGUAGAAUCUUGGGACCCAUCUCAAGACCCAUUGAACCAGAACCUGUAUUGUAACAAUUCCAGGUGAUUUGUAUGCUCAUUAAAAUUUGAGAAGCACUGUUCUAAGACCUCAUUUUAAUAUUUGUAAAAUAUCUGGGUGUGCCAUAAUGUACUUGAUGUGGGGAUAACCCUAUAAUUAUAUUAAAUGGAAAAACAAAUACCAACUCCAUAUACUAGGAUUUAAAUUUUAUUAAAAAAAAUACAGCUUAUAUAAUGCAUAGAUGUGCACAAAAAGACAGGAAGGAAAUGGAUAAAGAUGGAGAGAGUGAUAUUUCUGAAUAGAAUUGUGAUUUUUAUCCAUAUUUUUAAUAUUUUUAAAAAUGAAUAAUUAGAAAACAAAUCAUUAAUUGAUCUCAAUUCAUUCCUAAUGCUUGAUUCUCCAAACAGCAUUGUAGUAAUUAGUGAUAGCCAUGAAGAGCUUACUUAAUGUAUUCCCAGAAUCAUGAGUGAUAUGAAGAAGUUAAGACAGCGAUCCUCUCAAGUUGCUUACAAGAUAAGACGCCAUUAUCAUUUGCCAAAAGAUAACCUGAUAUGUGAAAAGGCUCCAAGCAAAAGGGAAGAGGAAGUCUGAGGGGAAAGGGUCCCGGGGUUGGGUUUUCAGAGCUGGCUGUACAGAGGAGAGUGAGUAUGAUUUGGUAACAUACACAGGGAGACCAUAAAUAAUCUGACCAUUUCUUGCAGGUAUUUUAGGAGAUGGAACAAUAGUGGUGGUAGUACACGUGAUAAAUUCUGAUAACUAAAUUUUAAAACGGAAAGGAGCCAAGAACAUUAUCCUCUGCUUAGAAUGUUAAUGUGGGGUGCAGUUCAGCGGCACUGAGCCCGUUCCCACUGAGGCACGGCCAUCACCACCCUCCCUCUGCUGGAUUCUAUUCUGCUCCCAGAAUGGACACUGUACCCCCGAACAUUAACUCUGCAUUACCCUUCCUGCCAGCCCUUGGCAACCACCACUUUCUCUCCAUCUGUAUGAAUGUGAUCACUGUAGGUACCUCAUAUGAGUGGAAUCAUACAGUA